AAUGAAGAACGCAGCGAAAUGCGAUAAGUAGUGUGAAUUGCAGAAUUCAGCGAAUCAUCGAAUCUUUGAACGCACAUUGCGCCCUUCGGUUAUUCCUUAGGGCAUGCCUGUUCGAGCGUCAUUUCAACCUUCAAGCCUGGCUUGGUGUUGGGCGCUGUCCCGCCUCCGCGCGCGGACUCGCCCCAAAUGAAUUGGCAGUCGCACCCUCCGAGCCGCGAGCGCAGCACAAGUCGCGCGGGCGGAACUCUGGGGGGACGGACGCUCCACAAGACCCUUUCUCAGUCUUGACCUCGGAUCAGGUAGGGAUACCCGCUGAACUUAAGCAUAUCAAUAAGCGGAGGA
rnacentral:misc_RNA from 1 species